rnacentral:rRNA from 1 species
CCUACGGGGGGCUGCAGUGGUGAAUAUUGGACAAUGGGGGCAACCCUGAUCCAGCCAUGCCGCGUGUGUGAAGAAGGCCCUCGGGUUGUAAAGCACUUUCAGUGAGGAAGAACGCCUGGUGGUUAAUACCCAUCAGGAAAGACAUCACUCACAGAAGAAGCACCGGCUAACUCCGUGCCAGCAGCCGCGGUAAUACGGAGGGUGCGAGCGUUAAUCGGAAUUACUGGGCGUAAAGCGCGCGUAGGUGGCUUGAUAAGCCGGUUGUGAAAGCCCCGGGCUCAACCUGGGAACGGCAUCCGGAACUGUCAAGCUAGAGUGCAGGAGAGGAAGGUAGAAUUCCCGGUGUAGCGGUGAAAUGCGUAGAGAUCGGGAGGAAUACCAGUGGCGAAGGCGGCCUUCUGGACUGACACUGACACUGAGGUGCGAAAGCGUGGGUAGCAAACAGGAUUAGAUACCCGAGUAGUC